CCAAGAAGUUCAUUAAAACCCACAGCGGCAGGGCUUUGCUCUACUGUUCUCCACCCUAGUGAAAGAGACAUAUCCAGGGAUCAGAGAAGACAACCAUGAGGAAGUGAUAUGCUGAGAAAGAAUGAAGGAAAUGUGCAAAGUCCAGGAAAUGAGAGACGGGUAUAUUUCAGGAGCUGAAGGAAGUUCAGAAGUCCAGACUGGCUCAGAUGAAGAAUGCUUUAAAUUUACAUCAUACUUUCUGUCUAGAAAACUGAAAUCUACGGGGACCAGACAAAAAAAGGGGAAACCCAAGUUCAUAUGCAUGGCUAAACUAGCAAGGAACUCACAUAUUCUGCCUCCCAGAUCAGUUCUCUUUCCACUAAAUAUUUUGUUCUAUUUCUGCGUUUCUUUCAACAUCAAGCCUCUUUUUCCUCAUCCUACUUAUGGAAACCUGUUGAUGCAGAAAC
rnacentral:lncRNA from 1 species